AUGUUCCUAAAUCCGUCACUAUCUGUCACCGAUCAAACUAUUUCACACGCACCCUCAUCGCGAUCCCAACCGCAUGUCACUGUCCAGAUCCGCCGGUAUUCCUUUCUCUAUUUCAAUCUUGUUUUUUUUUUAGUUUGUUGUUUAUGUGUGAUUGAGGUUGUUGUGGGAUUGUUUGGUUCUUUUGGAAAAUAA